rnacentral:rRNA from 1 species
AAUUGCCGGGCGUGCCCUAGAAUGCAGUCGAACGGGUAUAGCAAUAUACUAGUGGCGAACGGUCGCGUAACACGUAGGCAACCUGCCCAGAAGUGGGGGACAACGGCCCGGAAGGGCCGCUAAUACCGCAUAUGAACCGGGGGUGGCAUCACCUUUUGUUUAAAGCCUUUUCGGAGGCGCUUUUGGAUGGGCUUGCGGCCUAUCAGGUAGUUGGUGGGGUAAUGGCCUACCAAGCCGACGACGGGUAGCUGGUCUGAGAGGACGAUCAGCCGGAUUGGGACUGAGAUACGGCCCAGACUCCUACGGGGGGCAGCAAUUAGGAAUCUUGCGCAAUGGGGGCAACCCUGACGCAGCGACGCCGCGUGCGGGAUGAAGGCAUUCGUGUCGUAAACCGCUUUUUACGGGGAAGAAGAAUUUGACGGUACCCGUCGAAUAAGCCCCGGCUAACUACGUGCCAGCAGUCGCGGAAAUACGUAGGGGGCGAGCGUUGUCCGAAGUUACUGGGCGUAAAGCGCGCGUAGGCGGCCAUUUAAGUUCGGGGUGAAAGGUUCAACGCUCAACGUGAACAGUGCCUUGAAUACUGGUUGGCUUGAGUUCGGGAGAGGGCAGUGGAAUUCCUGGUGUAGCGGUGAAAUGCGUAGAUAUCAGGAGGAACACCGAUGGCGAAGGCAGCUGCCUGGCCUAGAACUGACGCUGAGGUGCGAAAGCGUGGGGAGCGAACAGGAUUAGAUACCCUGGUAGUCCACGCCGUAAACGAUGAGUGCUAGGUGUUCGGGGUAUCGACCCCCCGGGUGCCGCCGCUAACGCAGUAAGCACUCCGCCUGGGGAGUACGGCCGCAAGGUUGAAACUCAAAGGAAUUGACGG